AUCUAUCCAUGAGCAGGUUGAAGGUUAGGUAACACUGACUGGAGGACCGAACCCACUCCCGUUGAAAAGGUAGGGGAUGACUUGUGGAUCGGAGUGAAAGGCUAAUCAAGCUCGGAGAUAGCUGGUUCUCCUCGAAAGCUAUUUAGGUAGCGCCUCAUGUAUCACUCUGGGGGGUAGAGCACUGUUUCGGCUAGGGGGUCAUCCCGACUUACCAAACCGAUGCAAACUCCGAAUACCCAGAAGUGCCGAGCAUGGGAGACACACGGCGGGUGCUAACGUCCGUCGUGAAAAGGGAAACAACCCAGACCGCCAGCUAAGGUCCCAAAGUUGUGGUUAAGUGGUAAACGAUGUGGGAAGGCUUAGACAGCUAGGAGGUUGGCUUAGAAGCAGCCAUCCUUUAAAGAAAGCGUAAUAGCUCACUAGUCGAGUCGGCCUGCGCGGAAGAUGUAACGGGGCUCAAACCACACACCGAAGCUGCGGGUGUCACGUAAGUGACGCGGUAGAGGAGCGUUCUGUAAGCCUGUGAAGGUGAGUUGAGAAGCUUGCUGGAGGUAUCAGAAGUGCGAAUGCUGACAUGAGUAACGACAAUGGGUGUGAAAAACACCCACGCCGAAAGACCAAGGGUUCCUGCGCAACGUUAAUCGACGCAGGGUUAGUCGGUUCCUAAGGCGAGGCUGAAAAGCGUAGUCGAUGGGAAACAGGUUAAUAUUCCUGUACUUCUGGUUACUGCGAUGGAGGGACGGAGAAGGCUAGGCCAGCUUGGCGUUGGUUGUCCAAGUUUAAGGUGGUAGGCUGAAAUCUUAGGUAAAUCCGGGGUUUCAAGGCCGAGAGCUGAUGACGAGUCGUCUUUUAGAUGACGAAGUGGUUGAUGCCAUGCUUCCAAGAAAAGCUUCUAAGCUUCAGGUAACCAGGAACCGUACCCCAAACCGACACAGGUGGUCGGGUAGAGAAUACCAAGGCGCUUGAGAGAACUCGGGUGAAGGAACUAGGCAAAAUGGCACCGUAACUUCGGGAGAAGGUGCGCCGGCUAGGG
rnacentral:rRNA from 1 species